GAUGAACGCUAGCGACAGGCCUAACACAUGCAAGUCGAGGGGCAGCACGGUGUAGCAAUACACGGGUGGCGACCGGCGCACGGGUGAGUAACGCGUAUGCAACCUGCCUACUACAAGGGGAUAACCCGUUGAAAGACGGACUAAUACCCUAUAACACAGGGAAUCCGCAUGGAUAUAUUUGUUAAAGAUUUAUCGGUAGUAGAUGGGCAUGCGUUCCAUUAGCUUGUUGGUGAGGUAACGGCUCACCAAGGCAACGAUGGAUAGGGGAACUGAGAGGUUGAUCCCCCACACUGGAACUGAGACACGGUCCAGACUCCUACGGGAGGCAGCAGUGAGGAAUAUUGGUCAAUGGACGAGAGUCUGAACCAGCCAAGUCGCGUGAAGGAAGACGGCCCUACGGGUUGUAAACUUCUUUUGUAAGGGAAUAAAUAGUCUUACGCGCUAAGACGUUGCAGGUACCUUACGAAUAAGGAUCGGCUAACUCCGUGCCAGCAGCCGCCGUAAUAC
rnacentral:rRNA from 1 species